rfam:Dipodomys ordii contig_63692, whole genome shotgun sequence.
GGGAAUGUGGCUCAGUGGUAGAGUGCUUGCCUAGCAUGCAUGAAAUGCUGGGUUUGAUUCCUCAGUACCA